AUCCAACUGACGAAUCCCGAAGAGGACGAAACGUGUGUCUUGUAU
rfam:Schistosoma rodhaini strain Burundi genome assembly, scaffold: SROB_scaffold0011570